CUCCCAGUACAUCCCAGUUCCUCCCGCAGCCCAGCCCCCGAAGGAGAAGGACGGCCGCAAGGCGGAGGCCGAGGAGGGCCCGGACGCCGGGGCCCCCGCCCGGAGCCGGGGGGAGCAAGAGGGGAAGAGGAAGGCGCCCCCCACGGCGGAGAGGGCGGCGAAGCAGGCGCGGGGGGGCCCCCCCACCGGCCCCCACUGGCUGCGGCGGGACCUGCGGGUGCGCUGCGUCGACAGGACCCACGGCGCCGGGCGCUACUACAACUGCAAGAUGGUGGUGGAGGACGUGGUGGCGCAGGACGCCUGCGUGUGCCGCACGGACGAGGGGCUCCUGGUGGAGGGUGAGUGGGGCGGGGGCGUUCCGGCGCCCCCCCCGGGGCCCCGGCAGCCGCCCCCGCCCCCCCCUGAGGCCACUGCCGCCCCCCAGGCCUGCGGGAAGCCAUGCUGGAGACGGUGAUCCCCCGCG
rnacentral:lncRNA from 1 species